GUCUCUAGAAUCGUCAGAGACCACCAACUGUCCUCAAUCUUCUAAACAGAAAAGAAAGAUCAAGACCCUUCAUUUUAGGGUUUUGAUUUGGGCGAUCCAACUGUUCGUUCUUUCAGCCUUUUCAUUUUUACCCUAGAUUCUUUUCACCCGCUCCUCAAGAUGAAGUCAGUUCACUUUCGGCUCUUCAAGUUUCUCUCCAUCUCUUCUUUAACCCUUUGGAUUUUCUUAUUGCAGAUGCUUCAUCUUGAACAGAAGUCGAUGAUGUGCUGAAGUUCUUAAAGGUUUUGUGAGCAGAUCGGCGAGCUGUUCCCUCGAGGUGACAUGUUUCAUUUCGACGAAGCCCUUUUGAACCUGGUUGCGAACUAUGUGGCAGUCGAUGUCAAGGUGCUUCGUUCGUUCGUGAAAAAUCAGAUUUGCUGCGAUAUGUUCGGCAGCUUUGUUGUCACAGUUCAAUAUUACGGGUAAGUGGGGUAUUAUUUGAAAGUCUCGAAGCAGAUAGGUUAUCCACUGAACUUCACAUACCGUGGAUGACAUACUUUUGUACUCAGCCUCUGCGGAAGACUUGUUCACUGUAGUUUGUUUUUUUAUUUUUCAGGAGAUUAGUGUAGGCCCGAGGAAGAUACAAAAGCCCGUGAGUGAUUUAUGGGUCAUCGGACACGAUGCCCAGUCUGAAUCACAAAAGGCUUGAACUUUAAAGUCAUUCUUUCUUGGAAAGAAAAUGCCUUGCUCUGGAUAUUGCUUUAGGUACCUAACAACGUGUAGUGUGAUCUCGAGGUACGGCCGUCUGGGCUGUUGUAUGAACUGACUGAGGUAUUGUGUGGAGUAUGUUAUGUCGGAUCUGGUGAAAUUAAGGUAGAGCAAGUGGCCGAUUAGGCGUCUAUACCUCUCCGAGUCUGGUAAGAUUUCUUAUUCUUCUGCAUUUAGUUUUAAUUCGGAAGGCAAGGGAAAGUGGCUUCCUUUUGCAUAUUCUAUCUUUGUAUCUUGUAAAAUAUCUUUGGUGUAUUUUUUUUUUGCUGAUGUAGAUCAUUUCUUUUGACCUAGCUAUCUCGAUUCCGAGGAAAUAUCUCAUUUGG
rnacentral:lncRNA from 1 species